GAUGGAGGUAGGUUUUAUUUCACCUCUCUCAUUUCUUUUAUUUAUCCUGUCCUAAACUAUUUUCUGUUAUCUCUAGACUUCUUCUCAUAUAGGUCUAUACUUUCCAUUCUCUCCCUGAAGACCUUUCCCUGCUAUCAUUCUUCAGUAACAAUAGAAAAACUAGACGUUAAUAAAUUAAUUGGCUGGUCCAUUAUGCACUGUAUCCCAGGUAGGGAAACCCAUUCCCCCCCGAGUUACAGUAUCACAAAAAUCAGGCCAAAAUAUCACAUACACACAAAUCAGUAAUACGCAGUUUUCUCUCUGGAUAGGUUUAGUUACAAAAUGUUAAACUUUUUGUUCUUUCUUUCAAUCAAUCUGUAGGCGUUUAAGGAGAUUGACAAUUUCUACUUCGCGCUCUUUGAUCACAGAGUGAAAUUCAGCAAGGCCAUAAAACAAGGCUUUAAAGCCUGGCAGCACAUUCCCAUACUGGCGCCAUUACCAGAGGUGUCAGACCUAGCGGAGGAGGAUUAUUGAAGACCUAGGCGGUUCACCCGCCAAUGGUGGAAGGCAAAGUUUAUUAAGUACUUCUGCACCUUCUACCAGAGAGGCACCUACACCCUGUAAGGUGCCCUCCUUCCUCUUCCUCCUUCCUAUCCCCCAUCCCUCUUUCCUCCCCCUCCUUCCUUUCACUCCCCGCUCUCUUCUUUCCUCCCCACUCAGCCCCCCUUCACAGCUCCUAACUCCCCCUACCCAUUUCU